rnacentral:tRNA from 1 species
GGCCCCGUCGUCUAGCAUGGCCUAGGAUGCCACCCUUUCACGGUGGAGAUCGCGAGUUCAAAUCUCGCCGGGGCUA